CCCUUAGAUGUUCUGGGCCGCACGCGCGCUACACUGAUGCAUUCAACGAGUCUAAAACCUGCUCUGAUAGGGGUGGGUAAUCUUUUGAAUGUGCAUCGUGAUUGGGAUAGAUGAUUGCAAUUUUUCAUCUUCAACGAGGAAUGCCUAGUAAACGCAAGUCAUCAGCUUGCAUUGAUUACGUCCCUGCCCUUUGUACACACCGCCCGUCGCUCCUACCGAUUGAAUGGUUUAGUGAGGACUCCUGAUUGGCGCCGCCGCCCCGGCAACGGAGCAGCGGACUGCCGAAAAGUUGUUCAAACUUGAUCAUUUAGAGGAAGUAAAAGUCGUAACA
rnacentral:rRNA from 1 species